rnacentral:rRNA from 1 species
GAUCCUGGCUCAGGACGAACGCUGGCGGCGUGCCUAAUACAUGCAAGUAGAACGCUGAAGGAGGAGCUUGCUUCUCUGGAUGAGUUGCGAACGGGUGAGUAACGCGUAGGUAACCUGCCUGGUAGCGGGGGAUAACUAUUGGAAACGAUAGCUAAUACCGCAUAACAGUAGAUGUUGCAUGACAUUUACUUAAAAGGUGCAAUUGCAUCACUACCAGAUGGACCUGCGUUGUA